rnacentral:rRNA from 1 species
UACGUAGGGUGCAAGCGUUGUCCGGAAUUAUUGGGCGUAAAGAGCUCGUAGGCGGCCUGUCACGUCGGCUGUGAAAACCCGGGGCUCAACCCCGGGCCUGCAGUCGAUACGGGCAGGCUAGAGUUCGGCAGGGGAGACUGGAAUUCCUGGUGUAGCGGUGAAAUGCGCAGAUAUCAGGAAGAACACCAAUGGCGAAAGCAGCUCUCUGGGACGGUACUGACGCUGAGACGCGAAAGCGUGGGGAGCGAACAGG